rnacentral:lncRNA from 1 species
UUUUUUUUUUUUUUUUUUUUUUGUAAAAAAUCCCUUUCUAAACAAGGCAUAAAGUUAAAAAAGUUAAUCGUACCUAUUACUGAAAAUUUUAACUUGAAAUUUAUCUCUUAUCUUAAUCUUUAAAAAAAUUGUGAAAACCAUAUUGGAGGUUAAUAUAACUUGAAAUGCUAGAUAUUUUUUUCAUGCGUAGGCCAAAAGAAACAGCGACGUGUUGAGGACUGUCGUUGGAAAAUUAGCAGGUCCUGUCUACUUGCUUGCUAUACUUUCUCCCCUGAUGCGUUUAUAGAUAGAAAGGGUUCGAUGGGAGCAAGAAUUUUAAGGAACAUCUAGAGCUUUUUGGAUCCGUUUGGUUAGUAUUAUUUGAAACAAAAGAAUUCAAAUAUUAUUCGGCUUGUAUCAUAAACAUAAUUUUUAAUUAUUUUUUUAUCUUAUAUGUAUCACAUUACAAAAAGUGCUACCGUAUAAUUUUAAAGCCCUCUUCCAAAAAAUGAAUAAAUAUAUAAAUAAAAUACUCCCACAAUUCCAUUGGGAAUGUCAUGUUUUUCAUUGUGGAAUGUCCCAAAAUGUUUGCCACAUCAUUAGAAAACUCAACUAGGACCUCAGUCCAAAGAGCUGACCGAUUCAACAGGUUACUAGUCCAAUCGUGGGUUGGCCAAUUCAACUACUAAGUGCAUUACAUAGUAUAAUAAUACAUUUUGAAUUAUAAAAAUAUUAUAAUUUUUAAUUUGAAGGUUCAAUCAACAAUUUUUUUUCUGAUUUGAACGGUUGAACCGCUGGGUUGUUCACUGGUCAAUGGAUUUAUUACUUAUCCGGUCUAACUUGAAAACCAAUCCAAUUAGGUGGCCGAUUCACCAGUUUGAACGGUUGAACCGUCAGGUCUAGCCGAAAUUUGUAACUAUGGUUUGUUAUUUUACCAAAGUCAAAGUUAUUUUUUAUCUCUUUUUUCAAGAUUGUCCCCAUCUUUAUCUAUAUUUCAUACUAAAUUGAAAUUUGAAUUUUAAAUUCUUGAAAGCAACUUUAAAAACAAAUCUACUAACAUUGCCAUCAAACUAUUAUUCUUAAUAAGUUAAAAUCCCGAAAUGCGACAAAUAAUUUGGGACGGAGGAAGUAAUUAGCUUUGGGCCUGCAUAUGGAACCUGCGGAGUUGGCUUUGGGCUAAUAAUUAGCUCUAGCCUACAUCUGUAACCCAGACUUAUAAUGGACAUAGUUGAGAGGUUUCUGAAGAGAUUUUGAAAGCAACAAUGGGAUAUACAGGCCCAAAGGAAGUAUAUUGGCCAACAACUAUUCUGUUUUGUUAAUACUCGAGAUUAAGACCUUGUGACAGGUCGUCAGCCUGUGCAAUAAUAAUAAUAAAAAUAGAACCUAGCUACCACCAAAAGCAGUCAAUAAUUAAUCCUAGGUACUGGAGCAGGGACUCUAGGUGUGCAAUGGGUUACUUGAUUCACCCUAUUCCCGAAGAGUUUGCUUAACCCGAUAUACCAGAAUUCAUUAAUUGACAAAAAUUACUAAAUAGUAGACAGUGGCAAGUAGGGUCGUCUCCUCAGGGACUGGAGAUAUCUGUCUCUUUCAAAGUCCAAUUGAUAAAGGGGGAUUUCACCGGAAUGCAACUAAAAACAAUUAAACAAUUUAACUAAAAAUGAAUAAAUAACUAGCGCAAAUAUAGCAGGAAUUUAAUCAGGAAUAAAUAAAUUCUAGUCAAGGAUACAACUACUCAGGCACAGUCCAUUUAUCCGAUCAUUGAUGCAGGAGAGGUUCACUUAAUGUAUUAAUAGGCUAGUUAUAGUCUGACAACCAAUUUUUCCUUAAGUUAUAGGUGACCAAGGUACGACCAUUAAUCACCCCUAACCAGAAAAGUACUCCUAGGUACGACCGUAGGAAUUAAUUUUCUAAUUGCAUUAAUAACCAGAAAAACCUAGCCCUAAUCAAUAACACGCUACGAGGGUUAUUUAAAUUAGAUUGCACAUUCCUCUAAUGUGUAAACACACCAGUUGCCACUAAUAUUAAUCAAUCAAACAAUUACGGAUUUAAUUGACUAAAUUGGCACGAGAUUAAUAAAUCAAGUUGAACAUCGGGCCCUUGACAUCCAAUUAAUAAAAUAAUCCCAUGAAAAUUAAAUCAGACAACAUGCAAAUAUUAAUAGAUAAAGGAACACGUGAAAACUAAUUAGAUCUCACAGAUUUUCGGGACUGCGCCGUCGAGUUGACCCUUGACUAGAUGAAAGACUUAGCCACGCCGCAUAAUUAAAUCACCACACGAGUUAAUAAAUUGCGAAGGCAUCGUUUUGUACUAAGAAAUAAGGAAUGAAGGAGGUUUUCCCCGUUGGGGAAUAUUGUCAAGCACCUGGCGUGUGUCAGAGGCCAGUCCAAGGAAAAGAAAGAAAAAAACUAAACUAAAGACUAGGCUAAAAAGCUAAACUAAAAGCGGUCCCUCGCCUCUGUACGUUAGCUCCCUAUUUAAAGCCAAAGGAAAGAUAUCCAGUGGUCCCCACCAAUUGGACACAAGCUGCCGAAUUCAUCUCCUUGUUUUGAGCCUCUGCGCGGUCCCCACCAAUUGGCCACAAGCUGCCGAAUUACUUCUUGUUCCUAAGGCUUUGUACGUUGCCUUUACUAGCUCUUGUAGCUCUUGUGGUCCCAGCCAAUUGAGGCUUUCUGCUGGAGUCUCCCAAAUUUGCAUCC